CAGCAGCCGCGGUAAUACGUAGGGUGCUAGCGUUGUUCGGAUUUACUGGGCGUAAAGCGCACGUAGGCGGAUCGAUCAGUCAGGGGUGAAAUCCCAGAGCUCAACUCUGGAACUGCCUUUGAUACUGUCGAUCUGGAGUAUGGAAGAGGUGAGUGGAAUUCCGAGUGUAGAGGUGAAAUUCGUAGAUAUGCGGAGGAACACCGAUGGCGAAGGCAGCCCCCUGGGCCAAUACUGACGCUCAUGCACGAAAGCGUGGGGAGCAAACAGGAUUAGAUACCCGAGUAGUCCCUGUCUCUUAUAA
rnacentral:rRNA from 1 species